AAAUGUACAUACAAUUUGAAUUCUUGACGCAACGCCACCGUUCUGUAAAGAAGUCACAAGGGCCGCCGAAGCUGUCACCACCACCGCCGCCUCUCCAGCAAAAAUACAAAUCACGGGGAAUCCAACUUUUCCUAUCAUAUAAAUUAUUUUAUUGUUCAUUAUUAUGCACGUGUACAAAAGUAGUGGGGGCUUUCUCUAAAAGGGUAUUAUAAAGUUAAUUCCAUCUCUGCUGGCUAAUACAAAAUUUGCUAGUAUGUAAUCACGUAUGGCUAUAUGUGGGCUUAUAAGGAAGUGGUUUACUUUAUAUUUAUUUUUCUGAAGUAAUAAUACUGUUAAUUAUUUUAAAUAUUCAGCACA
rnacentral:lncRNA from 1 species